CUAAGACUCCUGUCGCCUUCCCUACCUAGGGACCUAAGCUUACAGUUUUGGAUAGCCUCCUCCUGAAAGGACACAAGAAACUCUAUUACUUUCUGACCUCCAGAAGGUCUGGGAAAGUAUACCCUACCUAAGACUCCUGUCGCCUUCCCUACCUAGGGACCUAAGCUUACAGUUUUGGAUAGCCUCCUCCUGAAAGGACACAAGAAACUCUAUUACUUUCUGACCUCCAGAAGGUCUGGGAAAGUAUACCCUACCUAAGACUCCUGUCGCCUUCCCUACCUAGGGACCUAAGCUUACAGUUUUGGAUAGCCUCCUCCUGAAAGGACACAAGAAAGUACGUCCUAUAACUCUUCCAGGUUUUCAGAACACUAUUGUAUGCUUCUCACAUCCUGCAAAGUUGUUAUUCUCAAAGCAAGAUCAGCUAGCAGCCUACCCUAGCUUUUCCCAUCCACCUGACCCAGCAACAUCCAUUAGUAUCUCUAGCUACCUGCCCCACUUCCUAGCCACAAGCCUUGUAAGGAGUCCUCGCAGCAAAUACCUGCUGUGGCCACUAGGUGGCUCCCUACUCCUAGUAUUGCUUAUCCCUGCAAACCUCUUUCUCCCUAAUAAUUUACUACGUGUCCAACUAUCUGUUAACCUCUGUACAUUCUCCUCUCAGCUUCUGUCUCUCUUAUUUCCAGCCUACCUCACUUAGUCCUUACACACCAAGCAUUCUUCCAUCCCCUUGGAUUACUUACCUUCUCUAUAAGCACUCCACUGAUUGUUUUCCCCUCAACCUCUCUUCUUUGGCUCUUCCCGCUCCGUUCGCCCUGCGGGCUCACUCCGCUCCCCUCCCUACCCCCAAUUCCCACCCACCCCCAGGGGUCCUACAUUUAUCUUACCUAUAAUCACGCCCCUUUACUCCUCUCCCCAAUCAUAUUCAAACUGGGCUGUACUCCUGUAACUGGAUACACCCACUUACUUACUAUAACUAGCCCCACCCCUCUCUUACUAACACACAUAACACAUCACAUUCCUUUUCAUUUGUCCUUCCCUCCUAAAUACUCUAACCUUACAACACACCAUUUCACUAUAUCCAUCUUCUCAACUAACCUCCAACUACAUUACCAUGACUAUAAGUUUCCUCCAGUCAAAACUGAAUAUAUCCAUCUCCUUUUUACUACUUUACUCUCUUAUUACUACUUAUUUCCUAACCUCAUAUGAAUACUCUCUAACUGUUUCUCUCCCACUUCCAUCAAAACACACAUGCACACCAGAAACUUCUCCAUCCCCAUCCUUCUUACAUACCUCCUCACAAUCCAUCUACCUUCUUGCCAAAUACCACAGACUACUACACUGC